UGUACAACAAAGCUGAUUUUUGGUCUGUCUUACCUUUUUAGAUUUGCAGUUUUUAGGGUAGAAAGACAGUUUUUACAUUUCAUAUGUACAGUGCCUGAAACAAUGGAGACUCAGCCUCAGUUGGAACUGCAUAUAUUUAUGUCAGGGUCUUUGCUAGAUUCCAGGCAGAACGGUGUCAAAAGGG